rnacentral:rRNA from 1 species
AGAGUUUGAUCAUGGCUCAGAUUGAACGCUGGCGGCGUGCCUAACACAUGCAAGUCGAGCGGUAACAGGUGUAGCAAUACAUGCUGACGAGCGGCGAACGGGUGAGUAAUGCUUUGGAAUCUUCCCAGUAGUGGGGAACAACCAGUCGAAAGAUUGGCUAAUACCGCAUACGUCUGUGAAGAGAAAGCGGGGGAUCGUAAGACCUCGCGCUAUUGGAUGAGCCAAAGUCGGAUUAGCUAGUUGGUGAGGUAAUGGCUCACCAAGGCGACAAUCCGUAGCUGGUCUGAGAGGACGACCAGCCACACCGGAACUGAGACACGGUCCGGACUCCUACGGGAGGCAGCAGUGGGGAAUAUUGGACAAUGGGGGAAACCCUGAUCCAGCGACGCCGCGUGUGUGAAGAAGGCCUGCGGGUUGUAAAGCACUUUUAGUGGGGACAAAAAGUCAUAGGUGAAUACCCUGUGAUCUUGAUUUAACUCACAGAAAAAGCACCGGCUAACUCUGUGCCAGCAGCCGCGGUAAUACAGAGGGUGCGAGCGUUAAUCGGAAUUACUGGGCGUAAAGCGCGCGUAGACGGUUUUGUAAGUCAGAUGUGAAAUCCCCGGGCUCAACCUGGGAACUGCAUUUGAUACUGCAUGGCUAGAGUAUCGAAGAGGGAAGUGGAAUUUCCGGUGUAGCGGUGAAAUGCGUAGAUAUCGGAAGGAACACCAGUGGCGAAAGCGACUUCCUGGUCGAAUACUGACGUUCAUGUGCGAAAGCGUGGGGAGCAAACAGGAUUAGAUACCCCCGUAGUCC